rnacentral:rRNA from 1 species
AAUCAACGCUGGCGGCGUGCCUAACACAUGCAAGUCGAACGAGAAAGGGGAGCAAUCCCUGAGUAAAGUGGCGACCGGGUGAGUAACACGUGACUAACCUGCCUUCGAGUGGGGGAUAACCUCGGGAAACCGGGGCUAAUACCGCAUAAUGCCUUCGGGUUAAAGGAGCAAUUCGCUUGAAGAGGGGGUCGCGGAUAGUUAGCUAGUUGGCGGGGUAACGGCCCACCAAGGCGAAGAUCGGUAGCCGGCCUGAGAGGGCGCACGGCCACACUGGAACUUAACCACGGUCCAGACUCCUACGGGAGGCAGCAGUGGGGAAUUUUGCGCAAUGGGGGAAACCCUGACGCAGCAACGCCGCGUGGAGGAUGAAGUCCUUUGGGACGUAAACUCCUUUCGACCGGGACGAUUAUGACGGUACCGGUGGAAGAAGUCCCGGCUAACUUCGUGCCAGCCGCCGCAGUAAAAC